rnacentral:rRNA from 1 species
GAGUAAUCUGCCCCUGGCUUUGGGAUAGCCACCGGAAACGGUGAUUAAUACCGGAUAUGACCACUUUGCGCAUGCGUUGUGGUGGAAAGUUUUUCGGCCAGGGAUGUGCUCGCGGCCUAUCAGCUUGAUGGUGAGGUAAUGGCUCACCAUGGCUUCGACGGGUAGCCGGCCUGAGAGGGUGACCGGUCACACUGGGACUGAGACACGGCCCAGACUCCUACGGGAGGCAGCAGUGGGGAAUAUUGGACAAUGGGCGGAAGCCUGAUCCAGCAACGCCGCGUGAGGGAUGACGGCCUUCGGGUUGUAAACCUCUUUCAGUACCGACGAAGCGCAAGUGACGGUAGGUACAGAAGAAGCACCGGCCAACUACGUGCCAGCAGCCGCGGUAAUACGUAGGGUGCGAGCGUUGUCCGGAAUUAUUGGGCGUAAAGGGCUCGUAGGCGGUUUGUCGCGUCGGGAGUGAAAACGCCGUGCUUAACACGGCGCUUGCUUUCGAUACGGGCAGACUAGAGGUAUUCAGGGGAGAACGGAAUUCCUGGU